AUUGAACGCUGGCGGCAUGCCUUACACAUGCAAGUCGAACGGCAGCGCGGACUUCGGUCUGGCGGCGAGUGGCGAACGGGUGAGUAAUACAUCGGAACGUACCCUGUUGUGGGGGAUAACUAGUCGAAAGAUUAGCUAAUACCGCAUACGACCUGAGGGUGAAAGUGGGGGAUCGCAAGGCCUCACGCAGCAGGAGCGGCCGAUGUCUGAUUAGCUAGUUGGUGGGGUAAAGGCCCACCAAGGCGACGAUCAGUAGCUGGUCUGAGGGGACGAUCAGCCACACUGGGACUGAGACACGGCCCAGACUCCUACGGGAGGCAGCAGUGGGGAAUUUUGGACAAUGGGGGCAACCCUGAUCCAGCAAUGCCGCGUGUGUGAAGAAGGCCUUCGGGUUGUAAAGCACUUUUGUCCGGAAAGAAAUCGCGCUGGUUAAUACCUGGCGUGGAUGACGGUACCGGAAGAAUAAGCACCGGCUAACUACGUG
rnacentral:rRNA from 1 species